UACGUAGGGGGCGAGCGUUGUCCGGAUUUAUUGGGCGUAAAGAGCGUGUAGGCGGCUUGGAAGGUCAGCUGUGAAAACUCGAGGCUCAACCUCGAGACGUCGGUUGAAACCACCUGGCUAGAGUCCGGAAGAGGAGAGUGGAAUUCCCGGUGUAGCGGUGAAAUGCGCAGAUAUCGGGAAGAACACCCGUGGCGAAGGCGGCUCUCUGGGACGGUACUGACGCUGAGACGCGAAAGCGUGGGGAGCGAACAGG
rnacentral:rRNA from 1 species